GCGUCUGGAAAGGCGUGCGAUACAGGGUGACAGCCCCGUACACAAAAAUGCACAUAUUGUGAGCUCGAUGAGUAGGGCGGGACACGUGGUAUCCUGUCUGAAUAUGGGGGGACCAUCCUCCAAGGCUAAAUACUCCUGACUGACCGAUAGUGAACCAGUACCGUGAGGGAAAGGCGAAAAGAACCCCGGCGAGGGGAGUGAAAAAGAACCUGAAACCGUGUACGUACAAGCAGUGGGAGCACGCUUAGGCGUGUGACUGCGUACCUUUUGUAUAAUGGGUCAGCGACUUAUAUUCUGUAGCAAGGUUAACCGAAUAGGGGAGCCGAAGGGAAACCGAGUCUUAACUGGGCGUUAAGUUGCAGGGUAUAGACCCGAAACCCGGUGAUCUAGCCAUGGGCAGGUUGAAGGUUGGGUAACACUAACUGGAGGACCGAACCGACUAAUGUUGAAAAAUUAGCGGAUGACUUGUGGCUGGGGGUGAAAGGCCAAUCAAACCGGGAGAUAGCUGGUUCUCCCCGAAAGCUAUUUAGGUAGCGCCUCGUGAAUUCAUCUCCGGGGGUAGAGCACUGUUUCGGCAAGGGGGUCAUCCCGACUUACCAACCCGAUGCAAACUGCGAAUACCGGAGAAUGUUAUCACGGGAGACACACGGCGGGUGCUAACGUCCGUCGUGAAGAGGGAAACAACCCAGACCGCCAGCUAAGGUCCCAAAGUCAUGGUUAAGUGGGAAACGAUGUGGGAAGGCCCAGACAGCCAGGAUGUUGGCUUAGAAGCAGCCAUCAUUUAAAGAAAGCGUAAUAGCUCACUGGUCGAGUCGGCCUGCGCGGAAGAUGUAACGGGGCUAAACCAUG
rnacentral:rRNA from 1 species